rnacentral:rRNA from 1 species
UUGAGAGUUUGAUCCUGGCUCAGAACGAACGCUGGCGGCAGGCUUAACACAUGCAAGUCGAGCGGAAACGAUGGGAGCUUGCUCCCAGGCGUCGAGCGGCGGACGGGUGAGUAACGCGUAGGAAUCUACCUUUCGGCGGGGGAUAGCCCGGAGAAAUCCGGAUUAAUACCGCAUAAGCCCUACGGGGGAAAGCGGGGGACCACUUGUGGCCUCGCACCGAUAGAUGAGCCUGCGUUAGAUUAGCUAGUUGGUAGGGUAAAGGCCUACCAAGGCGACGAUCUAUAGCUGGUCUGAG